CCACUCUGUUAUUAGAGUAAAAUGAUGCAUAAAAUCAUCUCUUUCCUGAAUUCAGUGGGCUCUUGACCUGUCAGGCUACAAAGAGAAAAGCUUGGUUGCUGUCAUUUCAGGACAAUCAGCCAAACUGUUUUACAAAAAGAAGGAAGCUGUGGGUAGAUGAAAGUUCUGCCUAUAAAGUGGAUGUUACUACAGUGCAUUGUGGUUGUGUUAUGUGUGCCCAAAGGAUAAAGAAUUCAGGUGUGAAGUGGUGUGGCAAGAGUUGCAAAUUAAAUAAGCCGUGCUUCGGGGGUUUCUUCCUUUAGUGUGCUGCGGUAACAUGCCCGUGGCUCCGGGGAACUGUAUGAUUAAGUCCAAACAAAGCACUCAUGCCUCAUGUUAAAUGUAGCAGAGGAGAGGUUAUUAAAUAUUUCUCGGCAAUUAAUUACCUGAGAUACGCCCUUUUUUCACAGCUUUGGUUUCAGGUAUGUGGGAAAGUUGAAAAUCUUUAAUUGCACCUAAUUUGUUCUGCAGUUUUAAUCAUUGUGCUGAAGUCUGUAACCUUUGUGAAGAAUUUGUAAGGGGGCUUCAUUUUGACACCCCCAGAGGAAGGGAUUUUUUUUUUAUUUUUGUGCAAUAAUCAUACCUCAUCUUUGAUCUGCUUUAUUUGAAAUUAAGGAAAUUUUGAAAACCCGCCAAAUGUGUAAUGAGUUAAGUACAAUUGGGAAAGAAAAUUCUUCCUACUGUUCCUGCUGUCUUUCCUUAAUUAGACACAGCCAUUUUCCUCGUGUCCACCAACCUGGCCCAGCUCUCACAGAAAUUCCUACCCAGAAAGAAGCAAAAAGAGAGAUUAAGGGAAACUUCCUGGACUAUUCCCCUUGGUCUCACUUCAUCAGCUCUCUGAGGAAGCCGUGUCUGACCACCUCUUUCCCAAGUCUGGAUUAGGUACAGUUUCCUUACCUCCUGGAAUACCACCUUGAACUUUCUCCUGCAGUACUUGUAAUGCGAGUAAAACAGGGUAUACCCAAUGACUUAUCUGUCUCAAAACUAUAGUUUUAUUUUAUAUUACCUCUGGAAUCCCUAUUCUUGGGAUGGGAUGGGAUGGGAUGGGAUGGGAUAGGAUGGGAUGGGAUGGGAUGGGAUGGGAUGGGAGGAAAUUUGUCAAUUGAAGAUAAUUCAGCCUCUUUCAGGUUGAAACAGUUUUCUACGUGAAAAUAUUUUUGUCAAUCCAAAGCUCCAAUUCUACACUAGGGCUGUGUCUGCCUUAUCCAAAGAAGGAGUCUUUCUGGACUUCUCCCCCCAGAUGGCAUAUGAAGGAGAAGCUUAUUAUGUUCAUAGUGACAGAGCAGAGCUCUUGUCCACAUGUCCUCUGGGUCUUCAUUUGCCUGAAAGAAAAGUCUGUCAUCUCGUUAGGUCAACAUUCUGGUGUCCCCUAACAUGUGGCUAAUUCUUCUGAUUCCUGCGUUCUUCAUUGUUGUUUCUUGAUGGAAUAUUGAGUAGUUACAAAAUGUUUAUAUAUAUAUAUAUGACAAAGAUUGUCUAUGUAUAUAUAUGACAAAUCUUGUUCUAUUUCAUAUAUAUAUAUAUAUAUAUAUAUAUAUGAAAUAGAACUCCCAUUUACCCACCACCCAAUUUAAUAAAAAGAACUAUACCUUAUUUUUGGCA
rnacentral:lncRNA from 12 species